AUGCUCAGGCUGCGUAGCCGCGUCCUCGCCCAUCUCCUCUCUUCUUCUCCAGCCACCUCCCCCGGAUCCCCUCUUCGCCGCCUCCUCUCCGCCAUUUCCCCCAACCCUAGCUUCGCCGCGCACGAGUACCUCGUCUCCACUUGCGGCCUCACGCCAGCACAGGCCGUCAAGGCCUCCGCCAAGCUCUCCCACCUCAAGUCCCCCGCCAAUCCCGACGCCGUGCUCGCCUUCCUCGCCGGCCUCGGUCUCUCCGGCGCCGAUGUCGCCGCCCUCGUCGCCAGGGACCCGCAGUUCCUCUGCGCCAGCGUGGAGAGAACCCUGACGCCCGUCGCCGCCGGGCUCUCUGGCCUCGGCUUAUCGCGUUCCGACAUCGCGCGCCUCGCCUCGCUGGCCGCCCACAAAUUCCGCCAAAAAGCAAUGGUCUCCAAGCUGCACUACUACUUGCGCGUCUUCGGCUCCUUAGACACCUUCCUCCGGGCCAUGAAGGGCGGCCAUCUCCUCUCACACAGCAUCGAGAGGGUGGUCAAGCCCAAUGUCGCGUACCUGCGAGAGUGUGGGUUGCAGGAUUGUGAUAUUGCCAAGUUUUGCAUCCAAAGACCAAGGAUGAUCAUUGCCAGUCCGGAGCAUGUCCAGGCGAUGGUGAGAUGUGCUGAAAGCAUAGGUGUGCCCCGUGCCUCUGGCAUGUUCAGGCAUGCGCUGCAUGCUGUUGCAUUUCACAGCGAGGAGGAGAUCGCAGCCAGGGUGGAGUAUUUGAAGAAAACGUUCAGGUGGUCGGAUGCCGAGGUGGGCAUCGCUGUUUCUAAGGCUCCAACCAUAGUUGCCAUGUUUCCGGUACGGUGGGAAUGA
rnacentral:rRNA from 1 species